AUUGGUGCAGAGAGGGGGCUUCCUCUCCAAGCCCACUUGAUGGACGCUCAGGUUCCCUGUGUCCACCUGGUCAAUACUGCCCCUCAGGCACAACAGCUCCUAUGGCCUGCCCUGAAGGCAGCUGGUCAAACAGCUCAGGACUGCGUAAUCAGGAGGACUGCAAACUGUGUCUGGGUGGAUUUUACUGCGACUCUGCUGGUCUCACUAAGCCUAGUGGGCCUUGCAGUGGGGGAUUUUACUGUGUUAAGGGAGCCGUGACACCCAACCCUACUGAUGGAAUUAC